ensembl:lncRNA
CUUUUCUGAGAGGAAAAGGAAAGGGAAAGGGAGAGAAAAAGGAGAGACACUGAACUGAAUGGAGGAUUGUGCCUGAGAAGAACCUACAGAGGGAUGUCUCCCCAGUGAAGGCCAAAGACUGCAGAGAGUGCUGCACCAAUGGACGCUCAAGCCAACUCUGAAGUUGAAACAAAGCGAUCAUCUGAAGACACCUCUCCUGCUCAGCAGCAUACCCAAAUGAGCCCACUGAAGUUUUACAAUGUGCCAGAGCUAUAAUGAUGUGGCAUGAAUCUCAGCAUGAUAGAAGACCCUGAAGUGUCAGAUGGACGACAAAAAAGAAGAAAGGAAUGAAUGGAUAAACAAAAUGUGACAUGUACAUGCAAUGCAAUAUUAUUCAGCCUUGGAAAGAAAGGAAACUCUGACACAUGCUGCAACUUGAAUGAACCUUAAGAACAUUAUGCUAGUGAAAUAAUCCAGUCACAAAAGGGUAAAUACUGUACAGUUCCACUCAUAUGAGGUACCUAGAGAUGUCAAAUUCAUAAAGACAGGAAGAAGAAUGGUGGUUGCCAGAGGUUGAGGCAGGGGGAAAUGGGGAGUUGUUUAAUGAUUGCAGAAUUUCAGUUUUGUAAGAUGAAAGGAAUUCUUGAGAUGGGUAGUGGUAUUGAACAACAAUGGGGAUAUAUUUAAUAUCACUGAACCA